GCGCCCAUCGUCUAUCGGUCAGGACACUAGGUUUUCAUCCUAGUAAGGGGGGUUCGAUUCCCCCUGGGCGCGCCA
rnacentral:tRNA from 1 species